ACCAAGGUGGUGUAGUGGUUUGAGCACUGGACUGUGACUCUAGAGGCAAGGGUUCGAUUUCCCACUUGGCCA